UUUUGAUUUUCAGAAUUUUUAAAAGCUCUUGGUUACUGAACUUAUGCAAUUACUCAAUUUAAAUCUAAAAACAAAGACUGAUUAAACUUUUGGCAAACUACUAGUUGAUAAAACUAGUUCUUCUAACAGUCCUAAUACAGUGACAGUGUGAAUGCAAGAUGUCCCAAGUGUCUCUUGAAUGGAAGGCCAUUGGGGUCAAAUUAUCCAGCGUCAUAAUUUCCAUAACCUUGUCGGUCUGCAGCUCAGGACCGGAAUUUAAUCCUUAUAAGUGGCCAUUUACUUCUUAUUUACCUGCACAGCACUUCACUAGCUGGACUCCGUUACACUCACUCCCAUCCGGGUCAUGGCACCAACCCUGCCUGCCUGUUCAUUUAAUUUAUUAUAUAGCUGUUAUAUUUGCAUUGAUUUGUCAUUAUUUAGUAUUAGUGUUGCGAUAAGUUCUGGUUAGUUAUAAUGUAUGGAUGCCCAUCAUCAUUUUAAUCUGAAUGUCAACCUGUAUGUCCUGGCGAGUGACGCUAGGGGGCGAUUAGUGAGCAAUACAUGAGCCGCAGGAGGUUUCACGCAUUCUUAAGAAGUCACACAGCCAGUACUGAUACACUAAUAAUAUAUAACUAAAAUAUAACUCAUGUAAGUAAAUGAAAUAAGUGAUCUGUAACAAGUCUAUGGAUUAAGGAGUUCAGUGUGCAGUGGGGAGGAGCUGAACACGCAGCGUCAACUGUACAGUAGGUGGCGAUAUGCACAAAGAAUCCAAUUCGCCAAAGCUAAGUACUUCUCACAGCAUCUCUCUCUCUCUGCGUGUGUUUGGUAAUAUAACAGAUUUUGCAAUGUGACAAACAAUAAAUACAAUAUUAUGAUGCUACCAGAAAUCUCUGCCUCUUCUGUGUGUGCAACACAUUCGCCGAUGGGAAAUCUCCAUGAAGCAUUGUGAACAGAAGAACCCCAAGAGAAUAGACUGUCGCUGGUAUAGCUCGGUAACAUCCUCUUUCAUAAAACUCUGGCGGGAUGUAUGCUUCUGUGCCUGGAGGAGAGACGUUUAGUUUAAUCUCUGUGACAGCACCAUGUUGGUUAUAUAUACCAGAUGGGUUUCAGGUGUGCUUAUUAACCAGCUUUCAAAUUGUAUAUUAUGUACAUUCAUAACUAGUGUUGUCAAAAGUAUCGACUUUGGUACCAAUUGAUACUGACACUCAUCACAGUCAUAUUUGCUGAGCAUGUGAACACCAAUGGCCAAUCAGUGGUGUUUAACAGCGCUCAAAUGGACCUUUUUUAAGGUCACAACACUACUUAAAACACCUACAAGUAAAGUGACUGUAUGCUGAUUCCAUCGUGAAAUCUCCACACCCGAAGUCGAUCAGCUUGACCUCCAGCGUGUCUGGGUUCACAAGCAGGUUUUGCAGCUUUAUGUCCCGGUGGAAUACCCCACGGUAACAGCAAACAUUGGCAGCAUAAACGGCUUGCCACAGGAUGGUUUGUGCCGUUUUCUCGCUGAGGACGCCUCUGCCGAGUUGAAGGAGUGCCUCCAGAUCCAUGCUUGGCGUAGGCCGCUCCAUGACCAUGACGUAAUGGUUUGUAAAGACCUGCCAAUCGAGGAGCUGAAUGAUAUUCGGACACCUGGACCCACUGCUGGCCAUAUUUGCCAAGGUUAUUUCAAGAGGAAGUGGCUGGUCAAAAGACUAAAAACAAAAUAAUGUUGGUUUUCAAACAAGGGGUUUAGACCACAGCAUGUCGAUAAUAAAUAUAAGACAUUAUAAAUUGAACACAGCGACUGAGAAGGGAAAGAACAGAAAGUGUACUUUACUUACAGAGCGGAGACCUUGACUAUUUGGUGUCUUCUGGACAAAUUUAACAGCCACCUGUUUAAAGGAAUAAGCGAACAAUUAACAUGUGCUUGGAGAUCAUUUCAUUCCAGUCAUAAAUCCUGAACAGAGGUUUCGUCAAUUUGAAGUUGUCAGCAGAAAUGUCUAAACAAUAAAAGCUCUGAUGAUGCUCUGUACAUAGUGAACUUCAUCAAAGGUUUUGAGUCUACAAAAAUGAAUACCUGCGCCUCCAUCGCCGUGUGCGCGUUUUAAAGGCUAUUUACGGGUGCACCAGACCUGACGCGGGGACCGGAUCUCUGGACUAGGACUAGCUUUAAUCUCACCAAUUUUCAUAAUUCAAUUGCUAUGUCAAAUAUUUUAAAAUAUUUAGAUGUGUGUUCUGACGGUUGGAACGACGGGAGUGUUAAUAGUUAAUGACAGAAAGAAUUUUCAGUUUGAGUAAACAAUCCCUUAUGAAAAUUGGGAUUGUUGGCACAUUGGGGCACAAACUCUUUCUGAGGGGGCAAUGCCUCCCUUUGCCCCCCCCCGUAGCGCCGGGCCUGACUUCCUGCCUCUCCAGCUACAGUCCUGAUCACAUCACCACCAGGGGCGAUUUUCAUACUACUGUUGUAAAGAAACACUUGGACAUGUGAUUAUGACAUUUCAGGAACGUCUGGGACUGGGAAGUAAAAAACAUAAAUUUUUUUCCUGUGUUUGUAAUUUUCCCUCUCUGUUAUUUUAAUGAUGUAUUUUUAGUUUGUUAAUCAGAUUUGUCACAUCACACUAUUUUUUGUUUAUUUUAUUCGUUUUGUGGCUUUGCCAUUCAAUUUUAAAUACAAAUCUGUAAACUACAGUUCAAACAUUGAUAUGAUCCUGGAGUCAGUUUUUAUUAUAAAAAGUUUAUUUCAUAUUCAUUUAAUGUUGAAGAUAUGCACAGCUUUUUAAAUAAACUUGAA
ensembl:antisense